rnacentral:rRNA from 1 species
AGCAGCCGCGGUAAUUCCAGCUCCAAUAGCGUAUAUUAAAGUUGUUGCAGUUAAAAAGCUCGUAGUUGAAUUUUAGGCCUGGCCGGGCGGUCCGUCUUUGGCGAGUACUGUCCUGUGUCGGGUCCACCUUCUGGUGAACCAGUAUGUCCUUUAUUGGGUGUGCCGGGGAGCCAGGACCAUUACCUUGAAAAAAUUAGAGUGUUUAAAGACGGGCAUUUGCUUGAAUAGAUUAGCAUGGAAUAAUAGAAUAGGACGUUGUGGUUCUAUUUUGUUGGUUUCUAGGACCACCGUAAUGAUUAAUAGGGAUAGUUGGGGGCAUUAGUAUUCAAUUGUCAGAGGUGAAAUUCUUGGAUUUAUUGAAGACUAACUAUUGCGAAAGCAUUUGCCAAGGAUGUUUUCAUUAAUCAAGAACGAAAGUUAGGGGAUCGAAGACGAUCAGAUACCGUCGUAGUCUUAACCAUAAACUAUGACCGACUAGGAAUCGGGCGACGUUAUUUUCAUGACUCGCUCGGCGCCUUAUGG